UUGAGAAAUUUAAAAUAAAUAAAUAAGUAAAAGGCUGUUCAUUCAUUAAGAGCAGGAGCCAGGUGAGCCCAGCACUGCCCUGUGGGUGCCUGUCCCCGAGGCCGCGGAGCCGCAUCGGCUCCCCCUGCCCGGGGGAAUCCCCCCCGCAGCCCCCGAGCAUCCUCCCCGGGAGCGCCCGCGCCGGCCCCGGUACAGCACCAUGGACACAGCGCCCACGCUCCCGCGGGCAGGAGGCUCCGGCAGAGGCACCUGGAGGCAGCCGGGGGUGCUCCGGGCCCCGCAUCGCGCUCCCCUCCCGCACCGCCCCGCGGGCUCCGCAGCGGCCCCGCCAGCCCCGCUCCCCCCGGGCCGGGCCGAGCGCCCCGUUCUCCUCCAGCUCCAGGAACAGCCUCGAACCCCGCCCCGCUCCCGCGGAGCCGCCGUCCAGCCCCGGCACUCCGAGCAUCCCCGGCGGGCCGGGGCUCCGCGCUCUGCCCGCCCCGAGCCCGGCAGCCCCCCGGCCCCUCGGCCCCUCACACCGCCCCCGCCCGCGGCUCCCUUAGCCCGGCGCUCUCCUCGCGCCCCCGCCGGCCCCUCACCUCGGGGGACGGUCCCCGCAGCCCGCACUGACCUGGCGCUGUCAAGUCUCAGCGGGAGAAACUGUUCCCUUCUAGUGGGAUAAACUCCCGGCUCGGCCCGUCCUCCCGGGCAGGGACCGCCUCCCCCGGCCGGCGCCGCCUCCCGCCGGCCCCCGGCGGGCGCUGGGGGGAGCGGAGCGGGCCGAGGGGGCGGCGGGCGGAGGGGACGCCCGGGGGCCGGGGAGAUGGGAACGGGGGCGGCCGCGGCCACAGGGACGGGGACAAGCGGGGCAGCGGGUCCGUGAGGAGGAGAACGAGGGGGAGGAGGCGCCGCGGCUCCGUCCUCUCCCCUUCAGACCGUCCCUCCAGCCCAGCCAGUUCCCUCCGGGUCCGCGCCCGCCGAGCGGAAUCACCUGCCUGUACCUGAGGGCAGAGCGCGGGCCCCGGAGUGGAUCUGGAAUUUGAUCUCUGCUCCCUGUAAUCUCCCGUAACUGAAAAUUCAGUUUUUCCGCCUACUGACUGCUUUCUCUUUUGCCUUCCCAUUCUCUAGCCUCCUCCUCUCUGCGCUGUGUAGUUGGCUUGGUGACCUCACGUCAGGUUGUGUCCUGCUGUGACAGGAGUAAAGGCUUUUCUGAAAAGGUUUUUAGCAGUAACAGAGGAAUGCAGAGACAAGCGGUAUAGGCUGUGUUCCGUACCUCUCCAGAAGCGGCAAGUCCCAACAAGCAUGUCACCUCCUCUACCUCACUCUCCGAUUCUUUUAAAGAGAAGUUAGAUGAGGAAAAAAAAGCGUAAAAUCAACAGGUUUUAGAGAGUCAUCCCGUAACUCAAGAUGCCCCAGGAUACAACAGUUUGUCUUUAAAACCUCUUGAUCCCUUGGACAUCACUGGAAGAUUGAAGGAUUCUAAAUUUGCCUCAUUAUGGUUCUUAGUCAUCAAGCAUUUUGAAAGAGAGCCUGCAUUUGCUUUAUUAUUUGUAUACUGAAGGCAAUUUAUAGAUUACAGUUGAACACGUCAAAAUACCUGGACUACCGACAGAUACUAACUUUGCCUACAGCCUUUUGUUUAUGAGAACAACCUUUCUGUCUGUAGAGGCUUGAAGCCUUGUGUUAAUUUUUGAGAAUUAUCUGUCUAUUUGUAUAGGCUUGAGGUGUUACCUCUGCCUUAACAGAUCAAGGAAUUUUUUUUCAAUUCAUGCUUUUCCUCCCAUCUGAUUUUUUAGCCCUAGAAAUGUGGAAAUAUUUUUUUGUAAGUGACUAUUGUUUUUUUGUUUGUUUGUUUUUUAAAUUGUUAUUUUUAUUAAUACCCUCAUGCAGAAUUAGAAGCCAGGUACUGAAAACGAGUAAAACAAAACCUCAGAAUUAACUCAAAAUGUCAUGGAUGAACAAACAGGCAAAUGUGGGUAAAAUAAUCUGAACAUUAACAGAGGUUUUAAAUACGUAAAUUAUUAAUAUUUCUAACCACACUACAGCAAUAUCUGUAAAGUUUCAAUAGGAAGUUAAAAGGAGAAGGAUCUUAGCUGGACGCUCCACAGAGUUCUGAUUUACUCUGAUGAGAACACAGUAAUACUGAUCUCUGUGUGAACUGCGGGAGAAUGUACCAAUUGAGUUUAAAUGUCUGGAUAAUCCCUCCCAAAAAUCAAGGUUUUAACAUGCAAAUUUUUUAAAACUCCAUGAAACUGGAACCAUUCCAAAAAUUGUCAGGUAUUGAUGAACAUCCAACUGUGACUGUGCACUCAGACUUUGAGUAGAGACUUUUAAUCAGUGCAGAAGUGAAGCAGAAAUACAAAGUUUCGAUUUUAAUUAAAUUGCACGGAUGAGACAGGCAUAUCUAACUCAGCCCAGGGAAAUCAGCCAAACACAGCUUUCAGGAAAGUAUUACAAAUACCGUAUCAUUGUAAUUCUGUUCUUAGCAUUAUAUUCUUCUUAGCAAGUCCAUCCUUUGAACAGAACUCAUAAAAUAUAAAGCAGAAACAGGAAUGCUGACUUAGGUACAAGUUACUUAGAUUUUGUAAAUAUAUGUUUUAACGGAGUGAGACAGGAAAGGAAAAAAGUUACUUAGUCUGAUUUCCUGCUUAACGUAGAUUUUUAGGUAGGAUUUGGUACCUCAUUAAAUGUUUCUUUUAGACAGACAGCUAAUCUUAUUUUGAAGAAUCAAGAGAUGAAGAACCCAUAAAUUUUCUUUGGUAGUUAAAAGUAUGCCUUAUUUAUAAUUUGAAUUAAUCAGUUUUUCCUUAACAAAGAGUGGUUUUUUUCCACACAUGAAACACAAAAAACCAAUAAUUUUUGUAUUGGGAAAGAAAUAGAAUAGGCUACAAAUUAUCUAUUCUAUAAUUAAUUUUGGUGUCUUUAUACUGUAAUGAAAUGGUCAUAAUAAAGAAAUUAUCAGUUUCUCAUAAA